rnacentral:rRNA from 1 species
CAAUUGAGACAGGUGGUGCAUGGUUGUCGUCAGCUCGUGUCGUGAGAUGUUGGGUUAAGUCCCGCAACGAGCGCAACCCUUGUGUUUAGUUGCAAACGGGUCAAGCUGUGCACUCUAGACAGACUGCCGUGGACAACACGGAGGAAGGUGGGGAUGACGUCAAAUCAUCAUGCCCCUUAUGAUCUGGGCUACACACGUGCUACAAUGGCCGGUACAACGGGCAGCGAAGGAGCGAUCCGGAGCGAAUCCUAAAAAGCCGGUCCCAGUUCGGAUUGCAGGCUGAAACUCGCCUACAUGAAGUUGGAGUUGCUAGUAAUCGCGAAUCAGAAUGUCGCGGUGAAUGCGUUCCCGGGUCUU